rnacentral:rRNA from 1 species
GACGAACGCUGGCGGCGUGCUUAACACAUGCAAGUCGAACGGGUCUGCCCUGUUUUUUGCGGGGUGGGUCAGUGGCGAACGGGUGAGUAACACGUGAGUAACCUGCCCCUCACUUCUGGAUAACCGCUUGAAAGGGUGGCUAAUACGGGGUGUUCUGGCUGUGCCGCAUGGUGUGGCUGGGAAAGAUUCACUUUUGUGGUGUUUUGGUGGGGGAUGGGCUCGCGGCCUAUCAGCUUGUUGGUGGGGUGAUGGCCUGCCAAGGCUUUGACGGGUAGCCGGCCUGAGAGGGUGGGCGGUCAGACUGGGAAUGAGAUACGGCCCAGACUCCUGCGGGAGGCAGCAGUGGGGGGUAUUGCACAAUGGGCGGAAGGCUGGUGCAGCGACGUCGCGUGAGGGAUGGAGGCCUUCGGGUUGUGAACCUCUUUCGCCGGUGAAGAAGGUCCUGCUAUUUGUGGUGGGGUUGACGGUAGCCGGGUUAUGAAGCGCCGGCUAACUACGUG